UCAGGAAUAUUGGGCAAUGGGCGAAAGCCUGACCCAGCAACGCCGCGUGAAGGAUGAAGGCCUUCGGGUCGUAAACUUCUGUCGAGAGGGAAGAAUGCGUACGGGUGAAUAAUCUGUGCGUUUGACGGUACCUCCAAAGGAAGCACCGGCUAACUCCGUGCCAGCAGCCGCGGUAAUACGGAGGGUGCAAGCGUUGUUCGGAUUCAUUGGGCGUAAAGCGAGUGUAGGCGGUUUGACAAGUCGGAUGUGAAAUCCCGGGGCCCAACCCCGGAACUGCAUCCGAUACUGUCUGGCUAGAGUCCCGGAGAGGGUGGCGGAAUUCCCGGUGUAGGGGUGAAAUCCGUAGAUAUCGGGAGGAACACCAGUGGCGAAGGCGGCCACCUGGACGGUGACUGACGCUGAGACUCGAAAGCGUGGGUAGCAAACAGG
rnacentral:rRNA from 1 species